UUUCCUCCGCCCAGCGCUUGAUAACUUGGUUGAUAACUUUAUCCAGCGAUGAAUCAAGCGUGUCUGAGCCAGAUAUCGGUUCUGCAGACAAGACGCUCGAAAAUUAUCAUGAUGAUGUUAGUCAGUGAGGUUGGUCUACACUAAGAUUCCUUAGGGAUGGGCGAGUGAACAAGACGCCAUGUUGGUUACACAACGACUAACCAUCAGGUCAGGCAACUUUUUUAACUACGCAUGCACAUUACUCACUUGCGUGCUAUUGGUAUUAGCGAGACCGCAGCAGUUCCAUACUGUGUCGCAGUAAUCUAGGACUGGCCAGAUAAACAAUUUAUAUAUUGUAUUUGCGUAGUCUUUCUAAUAAAGGGUUCCAUAUAGAAUAUUCCAAGAUAUUUGUAUUCAUUUACUCUUUUGAGUGGCUUUCCAUUAACUGAAACGUCGGCCGAUGAUAAUCUCGGACUUGUAUUAAACAGCACACACUCUGUUUUGCCUUGAUGCAUAAAGAAAUCAUUGUGGAGAAGCCACUGAUUUAUAAUAUUCAGUUCGUUAGUCAGAGCACUACUGAUUGCACUAGAGUCUUUAUCAGUGAAGUAUAUCAGUGUCGUCCGCAUUCAUUAAGAUCUUGCAUUUUUCUGAAAGCACACUGAAAAGGGCUCAGCAGUUUGUGCGCAACCAGAAAACUAUAGAGCUGAUAAUGGACAGCCUUUUUGAGGACCUUGGAUACCGCUGAAAGGACGGUAAUGUCAAUAGACACACUCUUUUUAAAAAUAAGGGUCACCUUUGCAGAUUUAAGUUCCUGUGGUACAACUCCUUGUGAGAGCGAUUAAUUGAUGGUGCAUGUCAGCGGCUUUACAAUAACUUCGCUAGCUUCUUUAAGCAGACAAGGGGAGAUUAUCCAAUCCACUAGCUUUCCCUGCCUUUAGACGUUUGAUUAACUCAAGGACAAACGCCUCUGUCACCGGUUGGAUUUUAAAGUCGGGUAUUGAUCGAUCAAAUCUAAUCGAAAACCCCACACGUCUCCUCUGCAUAAUAUCAGUUCCAAGGGUUUGUUGAGGCGUGUAACAACUGAGGCGAAGAAGCAAUUAAAACUGUUUGCAAUAUUUUUCUCGUCACUGCAGAGCUUGCGACUGUGUGAGUAUGAAAUACGCUUGAAAUACGAACUGAAAUACUUGAAAUACGCAAUUAAAUACGCACUGUGUUAAGUAUGAAAUACGCUUUCUAAAUGCUUUUCAAAUCUCUGAUUAAGAAAAUAUUCGAUGUUUAAUGCUUUCCAAAUAUCCUGGAAACACCUCUAAUUAUGAGUCCCCCCUUCCCAAUAUUAUUUUCAAACCAUUAUAAAGCGAUUGUUUAUGGUAUAAUAACAAUGUUUCCUGGUAUAUAAUAUAAUUUCUUCAACAAAUACAAAUUUUAUACUAAUUAUUUCAGUACUGGUUGCUCACAUACAAAACUGUAAGAUUAGAAUAUUUUUAUUUUUGUUUUCUUUAUGCAAAAUAUCUAUAAACGAAUCCAGUUGUGUCAAGGUUUAGACACCAGUUCAGGGUUUUUUUUUAAAUUAUACAGCCCUCCACAUAAAUUUUAGUUUUAUGUACAAAAAUAAAUUCGCAUUAUUCAGGCAUUAAAACUAUUAGUAUCUGUUGCCAUGCAUGUUAUCCAAAAACUGGGGAUUUGUUUGUCAGACCUUUAAUGUUUGGAAUAGCCUAAUUAACCAGUGAAUAGUGAUAACUAUCUCUCGAACUCAGAAAGUCACUUUCCAUAGGUUCAACAGUAAAAGAACAUGUGUUAUCUAAGUCAUUAAAUGUUUAAGCUUGUUGCACGAAUGUAUUAUGUCCAUGCCUUUUACAUGUGGGCACCACCAAGCGAUAAGGGUCCAUAUAUUUAGUAGUUUUAUGUUAAAAUCUCAGGGUUUGGGGAUUUUGUGAAGUCCAAUCAUGGUGCAAAACCUAUUGCACUUUACUGCAUGGUAAUCCAAGAAAUUAUUUAUAGCUUGUGUUGAAAUGUUUCCAGUGGAAAAUAACAUAUCCUCAUAGGAGUAUGCAGAAUAGUUAACAGAUACUGUAGGAUCUAUAAUGCCUCUAAUCACUGCUCUGAGCACCCUAAUACAACUGUUGCCUCAAUUUGCCGAACAUGAAAUACUUCUAAUACUAUUUUCAAUAUUUCUUUUAGUAUUUACUAUAUAUUAAUUCUAUUGUUGUAGAAAAUGAAAUGCUGGUUCCAUAUAAAAAUACUAAAAAUUGGAAUCCCUUGUUGAUUAAACAGUGUGUUCUCCCCCAAUUACGGACCAUACCCUAUUCCGGACAGUUUACAUCGAAAGCCUCUUUAAAAUAUACGAAAGCAAAUAAAAAACAUAUUACGUUACCUAAUUAGUAACAAAUACUCACGUGUGCUGUAGUAAUUACGUUGUUGGCGUUAUUACCAGCGGGAAAAUUCAAGUUUAUUUGAAGGUGAAUCGAACUUUAGUUCGCGUAGUUUGAAAGUUAACGGCGCAGUGAAUUCAACGCUUUACAUAAAACAGUCCUUCUGGUAAAUUAGAGUUUAAAAAAAUACCAACUUUUUUGGUGGGAAUGAAGCACUUUUAAUUUUACAAUAGAAUAGAAGUUCUUUGAUCUAAUUUAGAAGAAUGAAAGCGUUUUGAAAAUUUGCAGUGCUUGUUUACGAAGUGUCCCUAAACAAGGACACAAAUAGACUGCUUAUUGGAAAUAUGUUUUAAAAGAUAAUAGGGAUUAGUUUUUGCAUUUAAACUAUAUUUUGGAGGUACAUAUAAACGUUGUGACAAUUUGUGCAAUCAUAUGAUAAAGACAACGCUCGCAAAAAAAUUGCAACAUAAUUAGCAGCUUGUAAAAAUGUUCCAAAUAUUUAGUUCGUCAAACUUCUAAACACAUUCUAAUGGCUAUGUAGAUAGCCAAAACUAUAAAUUACUGCCUUUUAAGCACGACCCGGAUAUUAGUUUGUUUCUUUCUCGACGGCUCCCUAAAUUAAAAAAAAUGUAUAUAAAUUAUUUUAUCAGGUUAAGGUCUAAUCUUGUUAUUGGCAAAAUUAAAAAGUGUUAUUUUUAUUGUUAAAAAGUUAUGGUGCUAAAUGCAAAAACCCAGCCGUAAUUGGGGCAACACACUGUACUGGUCCUAGAGCAUUCUUAUCCUAUGAUUGGUUAAGAAGACUUCCCACAGCUUGAUGUGCUCUUUCAUCCAUUUGUGUAGAUCGCGGCAAUCUUAUUUCGUCAGCAAGGAUGAACCGAAAUCAAGGAAUGAAGGAUGACCACGUCUCACUUGUUCCUCUCUUGGUAUUCAAACGCACUAAUCUGCAGCGAAUCCUUGCCGAUGUCAUGUGUGCAUCAUGUUUGAUAUCCGGCGAGAUGAUGAAAAUGUCCUCGUCGCUCAGGGCAGGUGGUCAGUGUAAAUAUCGUUACAUGGAUGGAUGCUUGUGUUUGUCCAUAGUAGAGCGAGUGAAUCUGAUCUUGGUGGAAGUAAGUACAUUUUUUUAGAAUAGUCAUGUAUAAAGCAGGCGGAAUGACCUUAAGCUUUUCCAAUAGCACUUUCAGACAUUAUUUAGGAGUUUUACCAUUGAGUUCUAAUUUUUUGCGCAUAGAAGGUUCUCAGUAGUCCGAGAUAGUAUUUUAACAUAUCUGCUACUGAAGUUGUCUUGUUCCAAUCUGAAGCUUCUUGCUCUCUCCCAUUGUUACGUAUUCAAACCUCAUUUGACUUCUGCCAUUCCAUCGGCACUGCUUUCCUCUGGCAGCCGUUUAAGUCUCUCUACUCCUUAAUUACUGCAGUCUUUCUUGAUAGUUGUAUCUGUGAAAUUUCGCAUCUUCAUCCAACGGACAAAGGGUAUCCUCUACAACGUCAGACAAGUUCAGAUUGCUGGUUCUUUGUCGGUGAAAGCAGCCACUAAUUAAAGUGGAAUCGUUUGUACAACAGGUAUAGUACAAAGGGGGGGGCAUCUCUCUAGUUCUACGAAUGGAGCACAUCAACAAAA